GGUGAACGCUGGCGGUAGGCCUAACACAUGCAAGUCGAACGGCAGCACAGGAGAGCUUGCUCUCUGGGUGGCGAGUGGCGGACGGGUGAGGAAUACUUCGGAAUCUGCUCUGUCGUGGGGGAUAACGUAGGGAAACUUACGCUAAUACCGCAUACGACCUACGGGUGAAAGCAGGGGAUCUUCGGACCUUGCGCGAUUGAAUGAGCCGAUGUCGGAUUAGCUAGUUGGCAGGGUAAAGGCCCACCAAGGCGACGAUCCGUAGCUGGUCUGAGAGGAUGAGCAGCCACACUGGAACUGAGACACGGUCCAGACUCCUACGGGAGGCAGCAGUGGGGAAUAUUGGACAAUGGGCGCAAGCCUGAUCCAGCCAUACCGCGUGGGUGAAGAAGGCCUUCGGGUUGUAAAGCCCUUUUGUUGGGAAAGAAAUCCAGCUGGCUAAUACCCGGUUGGGAUGACGGUACCCAAAGAAUAAGCACCGGCUAACUUCGUGCCAGCAGCCGCAGUAA
rnacentral:rRNA from 1 species